GCUUGGGAACUUGCCUUUGCGAGGGGGAUAACAGUUGGAAACGACUGCUAAUACCGCAUAAUGUCUUCGGACCAAACGGGGCUUCGGCUCCGGCGCAAAGAGAGGCCCAAGUGAGAUUAGCUAGUUGGUAAGGUAACGGCUUACCAAGGCGACGAUCUCUAGCUGUUCUGAGAGGAAGAUCAGCCACACUGGGACUGAGACACGGCCCAGACUCCUACGGGAGGCAGCAGUGGGGAAUAUUGCACAAUGGGGGAAACCCUGAUGCAGCCAUGCCGCGUGUGUGAAGAAGGCCUGGUUGUA
rnacentral:rRNA from 1 species